rnacentral:rRNA from 1 species
AUUGAACGCUGGCGGCAGGCCUAACACAUGCAAGUCGAGCGAGCGGCGGACGGGUGAGUAAUAUCUGGGAAACUGCCUGAUGGAGGGGGAUAACUACUGGAAACGGUAGCUAAUACCGCAUACCAUCAGAUGUGCCCAGAUGGGAUUAGCGAGUAGGUGGGGUAAUGGCUCACCUAGGCGACGAUCCCUAGCUGGUCUGAGAGGAUGACCAGCCACACUGGAUGUGAGACACGGGCCAGACUCUUACGGGAGGGAGAAGUGGGGAAUAUUGCACAAUGGGCGGAAUCCUGAUGCAGGCAUGCCGGGUGUGUGAAGAAGGCCUUCGGGUUGGAAAGCACUUUCAGCGAGGAGGCGUUACUCGCAGAAGAAGCACCGGCUAACUCCGUGCCAGCAGCCGCGGGAAUA